AGAUAUUUGUCUGCUCUUCUUCGUCGUAGGUUUUGUUUAGGUUCUAGGGUUAGGUUUUCCCUAAAUUAGAUUCGUUUGCUGUGGAUUUUUGCCUCAGUUGAAGGUUAGGAGCUUCAAUUGAUGAUCAUCGCUGGCUCGAUCGUUGCUUCUAUGGUUUGAUGAUUUGGUUAAUUUGAAGCUUAUUAUCGCUAAUUUUUUUAUGGUGAUUUUCGAGAUUUAAUCAUGAUUGUGUUUUUGGCGGUGGAUCUGGUGUUUUGAAGGAUCGAACGGGAUGGGUACCAGUUUUUGCACUAGUUUCGGUUUGUUUAUGUGGUAAUUUCUGGUGGUAAUUUCUGGAUCAUUCCAAUUAUCGGACAAAUUUGACAUCAAAUUUCCUUCAAAGUUAGCCCUUUUUGGUUCUUCUUUUUGGUUUUCUUGCUGUGCUUCUUGUAGAAUGAUGGAUUUCGGGCCAUGUGGAGUGGGAAGGAACUAUCUCUUGGAUGGAUGUGAGGGUAAUCUGAAUCUGGAGUUUUUAUUUCAUUCAUAUUUGUGGUUGUUAUUGUUGUAGGCGGUGCUCUUGACUUUCAGUAGUUUUGGUGUGGUGACGAUCGAGGAUUGAUGAGGAAGAUUCAACUUUUACUAUUGUUGGGUUUGUUGAUUUGUAAUUUCUGGAUCGUUCUUUGUUAUCAAGAUUUUCGUGUUUUCUUUUUCUGGUUCUUUUGAUGUUCUCGUUGUGGCGUGGCAGAAUCCUAGUCUUCGGUGGGGCUAAAAAAGACUUUCUGGACGCGAAUAUUAUACGGCAUCGGGAGUGUUUUCCCUCGUCCCUUUUUUGGUUUCCCUUUUUAUUUCCUGAAAAAAUUAGUCGGGGAGUCUAUCAGUAACUGGCCUUAUGUGUUGUAUUGAUUUAGGGGAGCUUGGAUGCAAGAGGGUUUACCCUGCUAUACUGGUUUACCAAAUUCGAGAGAAGUUUUCUCUGUCCUCCUUUUCUGCUGUUUGACGGAGUUUUCUGGCUAUAGAUGCUGAGUUGCUCAGCGAGGUGUUCGUUUUCUGAUUUGCUUCAUUACUUGUGUUGUGCAAUAUAGGAUUUCUGUGAUUCGGAGUUGCGGUGAUAACUGAGCCUUCCUUCCUCAGAUGGGUUUCAGUGAUUCGGAGUUGUGGUGAUAACUGAGCCUUCCUUCCUCUGGGUCUUCUCGGAGUUGCGGUGAUAACUGAGCCUUCCUUCCUCAGAUGGUAAACUGAUUUGGAGGGAGUUAUCUUCUCACCCAUAAUCUUGUGCUUCAGGAAUUUAUGCUUUUGGCACCUUUUGAUAUUUGCACGCUGUUUUAUCGAUUUUUUUUUUCUUUUUUAGAACUUACAGGACACACUGUUGAAAUAGCUUUCAACCUCUCCAUUCAAUUUGCCUGCACCUAUUUCGCUGCUCUUUUCUUGAGUCUAGGAUUGUGUUGUGCAAUAUAGGGUUUCAGUGAUUCGGAGUUGUGGUGAUAACCGAGCCUGCCUUCCUCGGAUGGUAAACUGAUUUUGAGGGAGUUUUCUCACCCAUAAUCUUGUGCUUGAGGAAUUUAUGCUUUUGGCACCUUUUGAUAUCUGCACGCUGUUUUCUCGAGUUUUUUUUUUCUUUUUUAGAACUUCAGGACACACACUGCUGAAAUAGCUUUCAACCUCUCCAUUCAAUUUGCCUGCACCUACUUUGCUGCUCUUUCUCUUGAGUCUAGGAUUAGGUUUUCCUAAGUGAGAUUCAAUUGUUGUGGUUUUUUGUUUCAGCAGAAGGUUAGGAUCUUCAAUUGAUGAUCUUCACUGGGUUCGACCGUUGCUUCUAUGGUUUGAUGAUUUGAUUAAUUUGAAGCUUAUUAUCGCUAAUUUUGUUAUGGCAAUUUUUGAGAUUUAAUCAUGGUUGUUUCCGGGCAGUGGCUCUGGUAUUUCGAAGGAUUGAACGGGAAGGAUACCAUUUUUUGCAGUAGUUUUGGUUUGUUUUUGUGGUAAUUUCUGGAUAAUUCCAAUUAUCAGACAAAUUUGACAUCAAGUCUCCUCCAAAAUUAGUGCUUUUCUGGUUUUUUUUGAUGUGCUUACUGUAGAAUGAUGGAUUUCGGGCAUGUACAGUGGGAAGGAACUCUCUCUUGGAUGGAUGUAAGCGUAAUCUGAAUCCUGGAGUUUUUUUUUCAUAUCUGUGGUAUGGUUAUUGUUGUUCUUAUUGCUGUAGGCGGUGCUCUGGACUUUGAAUAGUUUUGGUGUGGUGUCGUUCGAAGAUUGAUGAAGAUUUGUGUUUUUACAAUUGUCGGGUUUGUUGAUUAGUAAUUUCCCGAUUGUUCUUUGUUAUCAAGAUCGUCGUCUUUUCUUUUUCUUGUUCUUUUGAUGUCCUCCUCGUGGCUUGGCAGAAUCCUAGUCUUAGGUGGAGCUGGCAGAAUCCUAGUCUUAGGUGGAGCUAAAAAAGAUAUUGCAUCCGAAUAUUAUACGAUAUUGGGAGUUUUUCCCCCCUCCCUUUUUGGUUUCCUUUUUUAUUUCUUGAAAAAAUUAGGCGGGGAGUCAAUUAGUAACUGGCCCUCUCUGUUGUAUUGAUUUAGGGGAGCUUGAAUGCAAGAGGGUCUGGUUGCAUUUUUUAUCCUGCUAUACUGGUUUACAAGAUUCCAGAAGUUCUCUGUCCUUGUUUUCUGCUGUUUGACUAGGGAGUUCUCUGGCUAAAGGUGCUGGUUUGCUCUGUGAGACAGCUGUGUUCGUUUUCUGAUUUCCUGCAUCAAUCUGUGUUGUGCAAUACCGGGUUUCAGUGAUUUGGAGUUGUGAUAACUGAGCCUUCCUUCCUCAGAUGGUAAACUGUUUUGGAGGGAGUUAUCUUCUUACAAUCUUGUACUUAGGAAUUUAUGCUUUUGAUACCUGUACACAGUUUUGUCGAGUAUUUUUCUUUUCAGAACUCCGGGAGAAACACCAUUGAAAUAGCUUUCAACCUCUCCAUCCAAUUUGCCUGCACAUACUUUGCUGCUUCUCCAUCAGAGUUAUCUUUGCCCAUUUGUUGUCUUCAGGGUUUUGAAUUUAUUUUGGUUCCAUAUGGUCCUCAGAUGCUUAGGAUUGUGUCAAUAUGGCAAUAUUGCUGCUGUCAGGUAUUUCUUAGCUUUUAAAUUCUGCCAUCAAAGAUGUUUUUCUAGGUAGUUCCCAUAGAAUUUUCUUCUUGAUCCGAACAAGAAUCAAGUUUAUGCUUGUUACAUGAAUAGGUUUAGUGUUAUGGUAGAUUAUCUGAAUUUGUCAAUUCAUUUGUCAGUUCUCAUCUUUGCAUCCAAUUUCAUUUUUGUUGGCUUUUUGUGUCACUGGCAACUUUAAUGAGAGGAAGGUCUCUUGUAUGUUAUUCUGUGAAUUAAUUGGACGUAUUUGAACAUAAUCUCUUAUUUGGGGCUCAACAUUGGUGUUUCAGUCGUUGCUUUAGGUUGUGUUGCUGCUAUAUGUCGUGGCUCUGGGUUUCAGCAAUUUCUCUGUGGUGUUGAUUGAGGAUUGAUCUUGAGGUUUUGCGGUUUGUUGAUGUAGUUAUUCUUGAAUGGUUCUGGUUGAUGUUUAAAGGUUGUCUUCUUUUCUGGUUCUUUGAUGUGGUCUGAGAAUGAUGGAGUUCUGCGUAUGGAAGUAAUUCUUGGAUGGAGGGAAGCAAAAAAGAGCUUCUUGGAUGGAUGAAUGUGAUAAAUCGGGAAUUUUUUUCUCUGCCAACCAAUUCUUUCUUUUGCCUACAAAUAGCUGGUAUUCGUUGGUAAUAGCUUAUCUGUUGUCUUCAUUUUAGGGAAGUUUGGAUUGGAGCAUUCGCGUCAUUUGUUUGACCUGCUAUUACAGCUUACAAGAUUUUGGAGGAGCUCUCUUUCCCUACUUGUUUUUCUGUUGUUUCCUUGAAAUUGAUUAGGAAAUUUGUGGAUUUGCUCCUUGUUCUCUAAUUUCCCAUAUUACUAUGGUGCUGCAACUUAGGGUUUCAGUGAAGUGAUUUGUGAUUCUUGGAUGGAUGGAAGCAAAAAAGAGCUUUUCUUCGAUGGAUGAAUGUGAUAAAUCGGGAGUUUUUUUUUCUGCCAACCAAUUUUUUCUGUUGGAUAAAAAUAGUUGGUAUUCGUUGGUAAUAGCUUAUCUAUUGUCUUCAUUUUAGGGAAGUUUGGAUUGGAGCGUUCUCGUCAUUUGUGACCUGCUAUUCCAGUUUACAAGAUUUUGGAGGAGCUUUCUCUUUCCCUACUUGUUUUUCUGCUGUUUCCUUGAAAUUGAUUAGGAUAUCUGUGGAUUUGCUCCUCUCCUCUAAUUUCCCAUAUUACUAGGGUGCAGCUUGGGGUUUCAGUGAAGUGAUUCGUGCUUCAAACUUGCCUUCCCAAUCUCAGAUCAAGGGCUAGUUAAAUUUUUUGGAGGGAGUUAUUUUCUCACCUACACAAAUUGUUCUUUUGUGCUAGAGGAAUUUAGGGGUUUCAAUGCCUUAAUUAUAAUUUCUCUGUGAAUCUUUUUGGCCUGGCGGCAUGUCUUGCAGAGUCAACUUUCCUGAUCCACGAUGAAUAGAAUGGGUCAUAACCAAGUGCAUCUCUGUGCUUAUUCAAGUUUAUUUGUAUGGGUGGGGUUCCUGGUAUUUUGCUCAUUCAGCUUGAUCUGAAGAAGUGUUAAGGCUAUGCAUAUUGGUCUGAUUGCAUGAACUCUCUACUUGAGAUGGAACAUGGGCUUUUUGGAUGCGAUGUUUCUUAGAAUUAUGGGAUGCGGUUCUUCUUGGAAUUAUGGAAUUGAUGUGAUGGUGAUCCUUAAUUUUGAGUUUUGCUUUCUGCUUUAUUUUUGUAUUGCUGUACUCAGUUGCUCUGGUUUUGAGCAGUUCCCCUAUAGAGUUGAUUGGUAAAAAGACGGUAAAAAGAUUUUGAGGUUAAUGACGGUUUGUUUUGUUCUUGGUGAUUUUUCAAGAUUUGUCCUCUUCUUUGGCUCUUUCGAUGUCAUUUUCUCAAGAUGUCAUUUUUCAAGAAUAGUGGAUUUCUGGUAUGAGGAGGCUAGAAGAGCUCUCUCUUGGAUGGAUGUGAAUAAAAUCGGGAGAUUUUCUUUUCAAUCUGGUCUUUCUUUGUUCUCUCUUGCCUGAAAAAAUCAGGGUGGUGAUGGCUUCUUUCUGUUUUGAUUUUAGGGAAGCUUGUUCCAGGAGUGUCGUUGUGUUUGGUACCCUGCUAACUGGUUUUGUAACAAGAUAUUGGAUAAGCGCUCUCUUUCCCUACUCUCUUUUUUUGACUGUUUUGUUUAAAAAAUGAUUUUCUCUGCUUGUUCUUUAAUUUACUAUGUCUGUGUCGAAUCAGAGGGGUGGCCAAAACAUAGGUCUCUGUCCUCAGGUCGAAGGCUAGUACAUUAUUAUAGAGGGGUUUAUCUUCAUACCUAUGCUCUUAUUAUUCUUUUUUGGCUUGAGCAUUUCAAGAGUUUUGGUACUUUUUGAUGUCUGUAGACUAUUAUAAGUAUAAUCUAAAUUCUUUGUAAAUCUCUUCCUCCAUAGUCCACCAUGCUUGUAGAAAUGCCUUAUGCAUUAUUUGUUGUCAGUAAUUUCUUGAAAGUCUCUGUUCCUGAUCCUCAAGGAAAAGUUAUCACUGUGUGUUUUGUUCUUGUUGAUUUUUCAAGAUUUGUCCUUUCUUCUCUGCUUCUUUUGAUAUCUUUCAAGAAAAGUGGAUUUGUGGUGUGUGUAGGCGAGGAGCUCUCUCUUGGAUGGCUGGGAAUAAAUCGGGGGAUUUUCUUUUCAACCUGCUAUUUCUAUGUUCUCUUUCCCUGAAAAAAUCACUGGGGGUGGUGGGUGAUGGCUUUUGUCUUUUUUGAUUUUUAGGAGCUUGUUCCCGGAGUGUUGGUGCAUUUGGGGCCCUGCUAACCAGUUUUGUAACAAGAUUUUGGAUGAGCUCUCUUUCGUUGCCCUUUUUUUUUGCUGUUUUGUUUAAAAUGGAUUUUCUUUACUCGUUCUCUAAUUUGCUAUAUUAUUUUGUGUUGAAUCCUGGAUUUCAGUGAUUCGGAGGUGUGGUUAAAACAUAGGGGUCUGUUCUGUCGUCGGUAGUUUAUCUUUUGUGCAUGAGGAAUUUAGGGGUUUUGAUACCUUAUUUGUAAUUUUUCUGUUAACCUUUUCUUAUUGUUUGUUACCUGGUCUGGCAGUAAUUCCUGCAGAGUCAACUCUCCUGAUCCAUGAGAAAUGGAUUGGCGUAUAACCAAGUGUUAAAUUCUGUCAUCUUAACAUGUUUGUAUAGGUAGGGUUUUUGGUGUUGCCGAUUCAUCAUGGUCUGAAGAAGAAUGAAUGCUACAUUUAUCAGUUUUGAUAAAUAUGGCAGAUCUACAAUUUUUAUUUCAUCUUUGUGCCAAGUUGAAGUCUGUGUUGGCUAUUCAUGUAAUCACACACUUACAGAAUUCCAGUGAGGGUGGUGACAGAGUAUGUAAUCACUUGGGAAGUCCAUGUUCCUGAUCCUCAUUUAAGAGUACAGAUUUGUGUAUCACUGCUUAAUCCCAAACUUGGGAAGUCCAUGUUCCUGAUCCUCAUUUAAGAGUACAGAUUUGUGUAUCACUGCUUAAUCCCAACUGUUAGUUCCUGGACUCCUGCAACCAGCCCAUUUAAUUCACCUCCACUGAUUUUGCGGCUGCUCCAUUAAUUUCCGAUUAGCUUAAUCCCAGGCCCUUCCUUUCUUUGGGGACUGUUUUCUUGUUAACUCAUAUAAUUCUGAAAAGAAUUAACGUUAUGCUUGGUAUGCUAAUUUGUUUUGAUGGUAUGUAUAUAAUCUAAAUUUCUGGAUGGUGGCAACUAAUGGAUGGCUCUGAUAUUGGUUUUCAUCUUGGUGUCAGAGUUUAAGUUGGGUUCUGAUGUCCUGGUAUCCCUUGCAGAACUCUAAUCUUAGCGAGAGGAUUGUGAAGAAAUAGAGGUCUCUUGGAUGUUCUGAUGUCCUGGUACUGUGGUUAGAGGUCUCUUGGACGUUAUUCUUUUUCAGAUGUUCUGAUGUCCUGGUACUGUGGUUUGAAUCAUGGAAUCUCUCUUCAUGCUGUCCUGUUGUGUUUGUUGAAAACAUUACUGAUGCAUUCGUCAGGCUUUAUAAUUUGUUUAAUUCUGCAGAUUGGAUAUAGGAGCUUUGAUCAUGGUUAGGUGCUCGAGUAACAGGUUCAAGAAAAAUGUUUUAUUCGUUAUGAGUAUUCAUGAGCUUUUGAUGGAUGAAUUCUGAAUUAGUCAUGGUAGUUACCCUGUUAUGCUGUGUUUUCAGCGUUUUACUAUUGAAGUUCAUUAGGAAGUAUUUGAAAGAAUAAAGGGUGCAUAGAAAUAUUUGGUUUGUCGUGUUCGUCAGGGUCCGGUAUAAGUUCUUGGAAAAUUUUGACAUCAAUUAGCUUCUUGAUCUGUUAAAACUCUGUCACUAUUCGAUGUUCUUGCACAGAAUGACAGAUGGGGGGUGAAUUAUCAGAAUUAGGGGAUGCAAAGAAGAACUUCAGAGGAAUGGGAAAAAUUAUGGUUUACCCUGAUCCUGAUUGAUUUUGCAUAUGCUGUGUGUGAUUAUUGCUGGGCUUAUUAUUAGUCUUAUCUGGUUUCCAUUUAGGGAGCUUAUUUGCAAGAAUCUCUGGUUAUAUUGUUACCUGGUAUUGUGAUCUACAUGAUUUCGAAGGAGCUCUCCUCUCGUGGUUGUGCCUGGUUUUCUUUGUGGUUUAAUUUCAGGAAGAGCUGGGAGUUGAACUCAGAUGUAUGUUUUCAAGCCUGAAUUUCUGCAUUACUAACCCAUCCUAGUUGCAUGCUACUGAUCACCAUGAAAUCGAAGCAGAUGUAGAGGUUUUUUUUAUCCCUGAUCAUUUGUAAUGGAUGUCUUGAGCGCAACUGCAGUGUCAUUUUGUUUGUCCUGGUUUAUUCACGACGGUGUUUUUAAUAUUCAAUGAAGUUUGCAGAUUCUGCUUUGAUAGCAUGAAAGGAGUUUUGGUGGGUCUUUAGCAAAGUUUUGUAUAUUCUUGUAGCAAACAUGCUUAUUCCAGUGAAUUUAAGAUAUCCAGAAAUUGGGAUUUUCUAUUUUUGUCUCCUUUCAAGUCAUAUAGAUGGUAAAGAUGUGGCUCUUCCUAGUCUACAUGGAAUUUGAUUGACGAUUUUGAUGUUUGAAUGUGGAAAGAAACUUCUGAUAUGCCAUGGGGUGCGGCCUAAGAUGCAACUCAGUAUGGGUUCAUGGUCAUGGCGAAGUAGGUAUAUUUCUUGCCUCCUAUCGUUCUUGGGCUUUUGGUGUGUGGUAUUUGGUAUGUCCAUUAUUGUUGAAGAGGGUCUAACGGGAGUCGUCCUCUAUCACCAUUGAAUACUCAGCUGCUAGCGUUCAUCAUCUACAGUUGAAUGGAAGAGAAAUUCGGUUAUUCUCAGUUAGUUAGCAGAUGCUUGUUCAGUCAUGUUAGAACAGAUGCAUGCAAUAUCUGCUUUCGUAGUCAUGUAAGAACAGGUACUGGUAUUGUUCAGUCAUGUAAUAACAGAUGUCAUGUAAGAACAGGUACUGUUAUUGUAGUCAGUCAUGUAAAAACAGAUGCAUGCAAUCUGUUUUUGUAGUCAUCAACUUACAUACCACUGGUACUGGUAUUUUGUGUGAAUUUCAUUUCAUACUUGAAUUUUGUGAUCCUCUGGUACGUAGGUUUAGUAUGCAACUUUAAAGUGCAUGUAACUGAAUUCUGUCGUCCUUGGGAAGAAGCUGUUGGACAAUCUUUGCUUAUGGUCCUAACAGAUAUGGUGUGGCAUCAAGAGGUCCAAUCUAAGAUUGGCAAUAGUAUGCGUUGCUGUUUUGGGAGAUGGUUCCAUUUUGGCAGGCUCUGGCACAGGUUUUUAUGUUCAUGUAACCAUUUGUCAAUGAUUGACAAAUUGAGAGGAAUCCAAAUGCCUUGUUUACGAGUAUUGAAAAUCAUUAAUUUGGUUGAAGUGCGUACACAACUUUGAGGUUGAUUUCGUUGGA